rnacentral:lncRNA from 1 species
AGCACCAAGCCACCAACCAAAGCCAACCACCAGCGACCUCUCUCUCUCUCUCCCUCUAUAUAUAUAUAUAUAUUCUCCACUAGCAUUUCCACAGCAGCAGUGAUAAUAUCUCAAGCACAUGCUUUAUUGCUCUCUCGCCAUCUCUCUAUAUAAUCUCCACUAGCAUUUGCAGAGCAGUACUGAUAAUCUCAAGCAGAUGCUUUAUUACUGUCUCAACACAGCAUUAAUGCACAUCAUAUCAGCACAUUAACAACAAGAAACACAUUGCCCACCCAUCAAGCAACUCAUCGAGUUUCUUCCCAAUAUUCUCUCACAUAUAUAUGGAAGAAAAACAAAUAAAAUUGCACAAUCUUUCUACCAACAAACUUAUGAUAUCUAACAACAUAUAUCCAUAUAUAAAACAAAAAAAAGAAUCAGGCGCUGUUCUUCCAUCUCACUUCUUACCCAGAUGCCGGCGCUUCCUCUUCUUCUUCGACCGGCCUGACAAAGAAGGCACUGUGGUCGGCCGAUCUCUUUGUUGAAACCAGAGCUCGAUCUCCUCGAGCCGAGCACUGAACAACUCCAGCUCCGGUAGUCUCCUCUUGCACAAAAGCACUUUUCGUGGCUUUUUCGGCGCCGGCGGGCAGCUAGAGGGGACUGUCGGUAGCUUGCUCUCUUCCGACGUCGGCGUCCGGCACUCUCUCCCCUCAUCCUCACUGUUAACCAAUGGCACCACGAUAUCAUGAUGUCCUACCGGAAACAUGGUAAUGAUAGGAUGUAGAACAAACUCUGAAGAGACUCGAGAGACUUCUGGGGAUGCCGACAUGGUGUCUGGAUGUACCAAGGCAGGAAAAAUGGAUGUAGGAAAGGGAGUACAUAUAGGAGUGUGGAAAGUCGAAGGCGUAUUGGAGAAGAAGGUAGUUUGGUGGCCUCUUUCCUUUCUUCCUCGAUCUCCUUCAGCAUUUUACUUUCUUGAAUGGGCCCUUUAGAAGACGAAUGGCACUGACACUAUUCGUUAAUUUAUUGGUCUACCGACAGGGAUCAUAGGAUGCCGUCCGGGCUCUUGG